UACGAAGGGGGCUAGCGUUGUUCGGAAUUACUGGGCGUAAAGCGUGCGCAGGCGGCCAUCCAAGUCAGUGGUGAAAGCCCGGAGCUCAACUCCGGAAUUGCCAUUGAAACUGUUUGGCUCGAGUACGAGAGAGGUGAGUGGAAUUCCCAGUGGAGCGGUGAAAUGCGUAGAGAUCGGAAAGAACACCAACGGCGAAAGCACUCUGCUGGGCCGACACUGACACUGAGAGACGAAAGCUAGGGGAGCGAAUGGG
rnacentral:rRNA from 1 species